CAGCAGCCGCGGUAAUACGUAGGGUGCAAGCGUUAAUCGGAAUUACUGGGCGUAAAGCGUGCGCAGGCGGUUAUAUAAGACAGAUGUGAAAUCCCCGGGCUCAACCUGGGAACUGCAUUUGAAACUGUCAGGCUGGAGUCUUGUAGAGGGGGGUAGAAUUCCAGGUGUAGCGGUGAAAUGCGUAGAGAUCUGGAGGAAUACCGGUGGCGAAGGCGGCCCCCUGGACAAAGACUGACGCUCAGGUGCGAAAGCGUGGGGAGCAAACAGGAUUAGAUACCCGGGUAGUCCCUGUCUCUUAUAC
rnacentral:rRNA from 1 species